UACGUAGGGUGCAAGCGUUGUCCGGAAUUAUUGGGCGUAAAGAGCUCGUAGGCGGUUUGUCGCGUCUGCUGUGAAAACCCGAGGCUCAACCUCGGGCCUGCAGUGGGUACGGGCAGACUAGAGUGCGGUAGGGGAGAUUGGAAUUCCUGGUGUAGCGGUGGAAUGCGCAGAUAUCAGGAGGAACACCAAUGGCGAAGGCAGAUCUCUGGGCCGUAACUGACGCUGAUGCGCGAAAGCUAGGGGAGCAAACAGG
rnacentral:rRNA from 1 species